CGGUUAAGUUAGAAAGGGCGCACGGUGGAUGCCUUGGUACUAGGAGCCGAUGAAGGACGGGACGAACACCGAUAUGCUUCGGGGAGCUGUAAGCAAGCUUUGAUCCGGAGAUUUCCGAAUGGGGAAACCCACUGCUCGUAAUGGAGCAGUAUCCAUAUCUGAAUUCAUAGGAUAUGAGAAGGCAGACCCGGGGAACUGAAACAUCUAAGUACCCGGAGGAAGAGAAAGCAAAUGCGAUUCCCUGAGUAGCGGCGAGCGAAACGGGAACAGCCCAAACCAAGAGGCUUGCCUCUUGGGGUUGUAGGACACUCUGUACGGAGUUACAAAGGAACGAGGUAGAUGAAGAGGUCUGGAAAGGCCCGCCAUAGGAGGUAACAGCCCUGUAGUCAAAACUUCGUUCUCUCCUGAGUGGAUCCUGAGUACGGCGGAACACGUGAAAUUCCGUCGGAAUCCGGGAGGACCAUCUCCCAAGGCUA
rnacentral:rRNA from 1 species